UACGAAGGGUGCUAGCGUUGUUCGGAAUUACUGGGCGUAAAGGGCGUGUAGGCGGCUUGUUCAGUUAGGCGUGAAAGCCCCGGGCUCAACCUGGGAACUGCGCUUAAUACUAGCAAGCUUGAGUACGGGAGAGGAGUAUGGAAUUCCGAGUGUAGAGGUGAAAUUCGUAGAUAUUCGGAAGAACACCAGUGGCGAAGGCGAUACUCUGGACCGUUACUGACGCUGAGGCGCGAAAGCGUGGGGAGCAAACAGG
rnacentral:rRNA from 1 species